ACCUUCAGUCAUGACAGAAGGAUUUGGGAAUCCAUAUAAAUCAAACAUCAUAUUUGUUUUUUAGACAAAUUCCAUGGGAAAGAGUUUAUAUUGGAAAGAAACACGUAAUGUGUUAUGCAUAUAUGUGGAUCAACAUUGUUAAUGUCAAUAUCAUGAUUGAUUGGCACUAGAAGUCCAUGUACUAGAGAUUCACACUGUUAAUAUUUUAUUCAGUGGCAUAUAAGUUCUACGGAUUCGUGAAGAGGUAUGCAUCAACCACAAAAAAAUGUUUGUCUUCUAUACAUAAACAAAAGAAUAUAAUACAACCUUCAGUCAUGACAGAAGGAUUUGGGAAUCCAUAUAAAUCAAACAUCAUAUUUGUUUUUUAGACAAAUUCCAUGGGAAAGAGUUUAUAUUGGAAAGAAACACGUGGGUAAUGUGUUAUGCAUAUAUGUGGAUCAACAUUGUUAAUGUCAAUAUCAUGAUUGAUUGGCACUAGAAGUCCAUGUACUAGAGAUUCACACUGUUAAUAUUUUAUUCAGUGGCAUAUAAGUUCUACGGAUUCGUGAAGAGGUAUGCAUCAACCACAAAAAAUGUUUGUCUUCUAUACAUAAACAAAAGAAUAUAAUACAACCUUCAGUCAUGACAGAAGGAUUUGGGAAUCCAUAUAAAUCAAACAUCAUAUUUGUUUUUUAGACAAAUUCCAUGGGAAAGAGUUUAUAUUGGAAAGAAACACGUAAUGUGUUAUGCAUAUAUGUGGAUCAACAUUGUUAAUGUCAAUAUCAUGAUUGAUUGGCACUAGAAGUCCAUGUACUAGAGAUUCACACUGUUAAUAUUUUAUUCAGUGGCAUAUAAGUUCUACGGAUUCGUGAAGAGGUAUGCAUCAACCACAAAAAAUGUUUGUCUUCUAUACAUAAACAAAAGAAUAUAAUACAACCUUCAGUCAUGACAGAAGGAUUUGGGAAUCCAUAUAAAUCAAACAUCAUAUUUGUUUUUUAGACAAAUUCCAUGGGAAAGAGUUUAUAUUGGAAAGAAACACGUAAUGUGUUAUGCAUAUAUGUGGAUCAACAUUGUUAAUGUCAAUAUCAUGAUUGAUUGGCACUAGAAGUCCAUGUACUAGAGAUUCACACUGUUAAUAUUUUAUUCAGUGGCAUAUAAGUUCUACGGAUUCGUGAAGAGGUAUGCAUCAACCACAAAAAAUGUUUGUCUUCUAUACAUAAACAAAAGAAUAUAAUACAACCUUCAGUCAUGACAGAAGGAUUUGGGAAUCCAUAUAAAUCAAACAUCAUAUUUGUUUUUUAGACAAAUUCCAUGGGAAAGAGUUUAUAUUGGAAAGAAACACGUAAUGUGUUUUGCAUAUAUGUGGAUCAACAUUGUUAAUGUCAAUAUCAUGAUUGAUUGGCACUAGAAGUCCAUGUACUAGAGAUUCACACUGUUAAUAUUUUAUUCAGUGGCAUAUAAGUUCUACGGAUUCGUGAAGAGGUAUGCAUCAACCACAAAAAAUGUUUGUCUUCUAUACAUAAACAAAAGAAUAUAAUACAACCUUCAGUCAUGACAGAAGGAUUUGGGAAUCCAUAUAAAUCAAACAUCAUAUUUGUUUUUUAGACAAAUUCCAUGGGAAAGAGUUUAUAAUGGAAAGAAACACGUGGGUAAAAUUGUAUUCAGACAUUACAAUCUUACUACGUAUCAACAGUCGUAUAACUUUUGCAAUAAUUACAUUUCUCAUUACUUUUAUGGUCAUCAGAUUAUGUUGUUAUUAAUUUCAAUAAUAUUUCUAUAAAAAACUUGUUUCUGUACAUUAAUUUAUGAAUAACAGUGCAUAUGAACAUCUCUAAAUCAUGUAAUACUACAUUGUUAGAACAUUCUAGUAGCUAGUUAGUUCAUAAAUUUUGUUGAUGUGUGUGUUUGUUUUUGAGAUAGUCUAAGACCUACGUAAAAGAAUUACUUUUUUUAACACAUUAAAACAUUUUAAUAUAAAAAUUGUUACUGUUUAAAAU